rnacentral:rRNA from 1 species
GAACGCUGGCGGCAGGCCUAACACAUGCAAGUCGAACGAACUCUUCGGAGUUAGUGGCGGACGGGUGAGUAACACGUGGGAACGUGCCUUUAGGUUCGGAAUAACUCAGGGAAACUUGUGCUAAUACCGAAUGUGCCCUUCGGGGGAAAGAUUUAUCGCCUUUAGAGCGGCCCGCGUCUGAUUAGCUAGUUGGUGAGGUAAAGGCUCACCAAGGCGACGAUCAGUAGCUGGUCUGAGAGGAUGAUCAGCCACAUUGGGACUGAGACACGGCCCAAACUCCUACGGGAGGCAGCAGUGGGGAAUCUUGCGCAAUGGGCGAAAGCCUGACGCAGCCAUGCCGCGUGAAUGAUGAAGGUCUUAGGAUUGUAAAAUUCUUUCACCGGGGACGAUAAUGACGGUACCCGGAGAAGAAGCCCCGGCUAACUUCGUGCCAGCAGCCGCGGUAAUACGAAGGGGGCUAGCGUUGCUCGGAAUUACUGGGCGUAAAGGGAGCGUAGGCGGACAUUUAAGUCAGGGGUGAAAUCCCGGGGCUCAACCUCGGAAUUGCCUUUGAUACUGGGUGUCUUGAGUAUGAGAGAGGUGUGUGGAACUCCGAGUGUAGAGGUGAAAUUCGUAGAUAUUCGGAAGAACACCAGUGGCGAAGGCGACACACUGGCUCAUUACUGACGCUGAGGCUCGAAAGCGUGGGGAGCAAACAGGAUUAGAUACCCUGGUAGUCCACGCCGUAAACGAUGAUUGCUAGUUGUCGG